rnacentral:misc_RNA from 1 species
UCCGAGUUGACCCCGGCAGUCUCUCACGAGUCCCCGCCAUAACGCGCUGGCAACAUGAGACAAGGGUUGCGCUCGUUGCGGGACUUAACCCAACAUCUCACGACACGAGCUGACGACAGCCAUGCACCACCUGCACACAGGCCACAAGGGAACCGACAUCUCUGCCGGCGUCCUGUGCAUGUCAAACCCAGGUAAGGUGGGGAUGACGUAAGAGAGUACGUCC